GGGAGCAGAACUUGGGACAGUACCACUUUUCCCCCCUGAUUCGAUCCCUCGUCCUAGAUUCUAUUUCCAUCUCUGCCAUUGAGUUCUUUAUGAUUUACUCAGUGCCAACAUCGUGUUAUUGACCUACUGAUAUACCUUGGCGGUCUGAAUUCCAAACAUGGCUGUUUCGUGCUACAGUCUGAAUGGGAAACUGACUUGUAUAAUUCCUCUUUCCCAGAUAAUCCAGGAUUUGGUAUUUGCCUGCUUACCUGAGACCAUCUCUGCUAGUCCUUGCCACCAGGAGAGAGCAGAAAACUUGGUUCCAUACCCUGCACCUCACCUCUUCGUUUGACUUCCAACUUUAUCACUCCCCACUGCCUGUGCAAGCCAAGAGCCUCAGCUCCAGGCUGGAGAAGACCGUACUGGCCAGGCCAUCACCUGAUCAUGAAAAGGGAAACAUCUCUUCCUUUUCUGGUCUUCUGUUUCCUCUGUGUUUCUCUUUGGUUAGAAAAAUUCCAAAGCUUCCAAGCACUACAGUAAAAAUGAAUAAAUACC